UACGAAGGGGGCUAGCGUUGUUCGGAAUUACUGGGCGUAAAGAGCGCGCAGGCGGCCAAGUCAGUCGAAUGUGAAAGCCCCCGGCUUAACUGGGGAGGGUCAUUCGAUACUGCUUGGCUCGAAGACAGGAGAGGGAAGCGGAAUUCCCGGUGUAGUGGUGAAAUGCGUAGAUAUCGGGAGGAACACCAGUGGCGAAGGCGGCUUUCUGGCCUGUUCUUGACGCUGAGGCGCGAAAGCUAGGGGAGCAAACGGG
rnacentral:rRNA from 1 species